AUUGAACGCUGGCGGCAUGCCUUACACAUGCAAGUCGAACGGUAACGGGUCCUUCGGGAUGCCGACGAGUGGCGAACGGGUGAGUAAUAUAUCGGAACGUGCCCAGUAGUGGGGGAUAACUGCUCGAAAGAGCAGCUAAUACCGCAUACGACCUGAGGGUGAAAGGGGGGGAUCGCAAGACCUCUCGCUAUUGGAGCGGCCGAUAUCAGAUUAGCUAGUUGGUGGGGUAAAGGCCUAUCAAGGCAACGAUCUGUAGUUGGUCUGAGAGGACGACCAGCCACACUGGGACUGAGACACGGCCCAGACUCCUACGGGAGGCAGCAGUGGGGAAUUUUGGACAAUGGGCGCAAGCCUGAUCCAGCAAUGCCGCGUGCAGGAAGAAGGCCUUCGGGUUGUAAACUGCUUUUGUCAGGGAAGAAAUCUUCUGGGCUAAUACCCCGGGAGGAUGACGGUACCUGAAGAAUAAGCACCGGCUAACUACGUG
rnacentral:rRNA from 1 species